UACGUAGGUUGCGAGCGUUGUUCGGAAUUAUUGGGCGUAAAGGGUCCGCAGGGGGCCCGUUAAGUUAGAUGUGAAAUCCCGGGGCUCAACCCCGGAACUGCAUUUAAAACUGACGGGCUAGAGUACUGGAGAGGUGAGUGGAAUUCCAGGUGUAGCGGUGGAAUGCGUAGAUAUCUGGAAGAACACCGAAAGCGAAGGCAGCUCACUGGACAGUUACUGACCCUCAGGGACGAAAGCGUGGGGAG
rnacentral:rRNA from 1 species